GGUUAAGUUAGAAAGGGCGCACGGUGAAUGCCUUGGCACUAGGAGCCGAUGAAGGACGGGACUAACACCGAUAUGCUUCGGGGAGCUGUAAGUGAGCUUUGAUCCGGAGAUUUCCGAAUGGGGAAACCCACUGUUCGUAAUGGAACAGUAUCUUUAUCUGAAUACAUAGGAUAUUGAAGGCAGACCCGGGGAACUGAAACAUCUAAGUACCCGGAGGAAGAGAAAGCAAAUGCGAUUUCCUGAGUAGCGGCGAGCGAAACGGAAUUAGCCCAAACCAAGAGGCUUGCCUCUUGGGGUUGUAGGACACUCUAUACGGAGUUACAAAGGAACGAAGUAAAUGAAGCGACCUGGAAAGGUCCGUCGAAGAAGGUAACAACCCUGUAGUUGAAACUUCGUUCCCUCUUGAGUGGAUCCUGAGUACGGCGGAACACGUGAAAUUCCGUCGGAAGCUGGGAGGACCAUCUCCCAAGGCUAAAUACUACCUAGUGACCGAUAGUGAACCAGUACCGUGAGGGAAAGGUGAAAAGCACCCCGGAAGGGGAGUGAAAGAGAUCCUGAAACCGUGUGCCUACAAGUAGUCAGAGCCCGUUAAUGGGUGAUGGCGUGCCUUUUGUAGAAUGAACCGGCGAGUUACGAUCCCAUGCAAGGUUAAGCUGAUAAGGCGGAGCCGUAGCGAAAGCGAGUCUGAAUAGGGCGUUUAGUAUGUGGUUGUAGACCCGAAACCAGGUGAUCUACCCAUGUCCAGGGUGAAGUUCAGGUAACACUGAAUGGAGGCCCGAACCCACGCACGUUGAAAAGUGCGGGGAUGAGGUGUGGGUAGCGGAGAAAUUCCAAUCGAACCUGGAGAUAGCUGGUUCUCUCCGAAAUAGCUUUAGGGCUAGCCUCAUGUUGUGAGAGUCUUGGAGGUAGAGCACUGAUUGGACUAGGGGCCCCCAACGGGUUACCGAAUUCAGUCAAACUCCGAAUGCCAAAGACUUAUCCAUGGGAGUCAGACUGCGAGUGAUAAGAUCCGUAGUCAAAAGGGAAACAGCCCAGACCACCAGCUAAGGUCCCCAAGUAUACGUUAAGUGGAAAAGGAUGUGGAGUUGCUUAGACAACCAGGAUGUUGGCUUAGAAGCAGCCACCAUUUAAAGAGUGCGUAAUAGCUCACUGGUCGAGUGACUCUGCGCCGAAAAUGUACCGGGGCUAAACGUAUCACCGAAGCUGUGGAUUGACAUCUUAGAUGUCAGUGGUAGGAGAGCGUUCUAAGUGCUGUGAAGUCAGACCGUAAGGACUGGUGGAGCGCUUAGAAGUGAGAAUGCCGGUAUGAGUAGCGAAAGACAAGUGAGAAUCUUGUCCACCGAAUGCCUAAGGUUUCCUGAGGAAGGCUCGUCCGCUCAGGGUUAGUCGGGACCUAAGCCGAGGCUGAAAAGCGUAGGCGAUGGCCAACAGGUUGAUAUUCCUGUACCACCUCCCCGCCGUUUGAGUAAUGGGGGGACGCAGUAGGAUAGGGUAAGCGCGCUGCUGGAUAUGCGCGUUCAAGCAGUUAGGCUGAUGAGUAGGCAAAUCCGCUCAUCAUAAAGGCUGAGCUGUGAUGACGAGGGAAUUAUAGUACCGAAGUUCCUGAUUCCACACUGCCAAGAAAAGCCUCUAGCGAGGCGGGAGGUGCCCGUACCGCAAACCGACACAGGUAGGCGAGGAGAGAAUCCUAAGGUGAUCGAGAGAACUCUCGUUAAGGAACUCGGCAAAAUGACCCCGUAACUUCGGGAGAAGGGGUGCUCUGGUAGGGUGUAUAGCCCGAGAGAGCCGCAGUGAAUAGGCCCAGGCGACUGUUUAGCAAAAACACAGGUCUCUGCGAAGCCGCAAGGCGAAGUAUAGGGGCUGACGCCUGCCCGGUGCUGGAAGGUUAAGAGGAGGGGUUAUCCUUUGGGAGAAGCUCUGAAUCGAAGCCCCAGUAAACGGCGGCCGUAACUAUAACGGUCCUAAGGUAGCGAAAUUCCUUGUCGGGUAAGUUCCGACCCGCACGAAAGGCGUAACGAUCUGGGCACUGUCUCAACGAGAGACUCGGUGAAAUUAUAGUACCUGUGAAGAUGCAGGUUACCCGCGACAGGACGGAAAGACCCCGUGGAGCUUUACUGUAGCCUGAUAUUGAAUUUUGGUACAGCUUGUACAGGAUAGGUAGGAGCCUGAGAAGCCGGAGCGCUAGCUUCGGUGGAGGCGUCGGUGGGAUACUACCCUGGCUGUAUUGAAAUUCUAACCCGCGGCCCUGAUCGGGCCGGGAGACAGUGUCAGGUGGGCAGUUUGACUGGGGCGGUCGCCUCCUAAAAUGUAACGGAGGCGCCCAAAGGUUCCCUCAGAAUGGUUGGAAAUCAUUCGUAGAGUGUAAAGGCACAAGGGAGCUUGACUGCGAGACCUACAAGUCGAGCAGGGACGAAAGUCGGGCUUAGUGAUCCGGUGGUUCCGCAUGGAAGGGCCAUCGCUCAACGGAUAAAAGCUACCCCGGGGAUAACAGGCUUAUCUCCCCCAAGAGUCCACAUCGACGGGGAGGUUUGGCACCUCGAUGUCGGCUCAUCGCAUCCUGGGGCUGUAGUCGGUCCCAAGGGUUGGGCUGUUCGCCCAUUAAAGCGGUACGCGAGCUGGGUUCAGAACGUCGUGAGACAGUUCGGUCCCUAUCCGUCGUGGGCGUAGGAAAUUUGAGAGGAGCUGUCCUUAGUACGAGAGGACCGGGAUGGACACACCGCUGGUGUACCAGUUGUCUUGCCAAAGGCAUCGCUGGGUAGCUAUGUGUGGACGGGAUAAGUGCUGAAAGCAUCUAAGCAUGAAGCCCCCCUCAAGAUGAGAUUUCCCAUAGCGCAAGCUAGUAAGAUCCCUGAAAGAUGAUCAGGUUGAUAGGUCAGAGGUGGAAGCGUGGCGACAUGUGUAGCUGACUGAUACUAAUCGAUCGAGGACUUAACCAA
rnacentral:rRNA from 2 species